AAUAUUGGACAAUGGGGAAAAGCCAGAUCCAACCAUUCCGCAAGGGGGAAGAAGGUCUUGGAGAUUGUAAAGCACUUUAAGUUGGGAGGAAGGGCAUUAACCUUAUUCUCCAGGGUUUGAACGUUACCGGCAGUAUGAGCACCGGCAUCCUUCGUGCCAGCAGCAGCGGUAAUAGGAAGGGAGCGGACGCAAGUCUGAUCUAGAAUGAUUAAGGCGAAAGUAGGUGUAUGUGGAAGUGGAUCGAAAGUCAAAUCCCAGGGCUCAACCCUGCAUCCAAAACUAAACUACCAGAGUGGAGUAGAGUAGGGGCAGAGGGAAUGUGUAGCGGAGAAAUGAAAAGAUUAGAGAUGGGACAGCACACCAGAAGGGGAACCACUGGACUGAUACGACCAUGGCAGUGAGAAACGAAAGGGAGCAAACAGAAUUAGAUACCUACCACUGCAGUCCGUA
rnacentral:rRNA from 1 species